CCAUCGGGUCCACUCCGUGCACAACUUUUUCGCCCCUUUAUCUCGUCUCUGCCCUCUCUGUUUCGCUCCGCAAGUGCGGACGCGUACCAUUCACGUCGGUGCAGCACACAAGUGGGCGGUGUGUGUGUGUGUACCCCCUACCCCCACGCCCUAACACAGAGACGCGUUCAUUUUUGAUUGGAUCGCAGCCGUUGCCCUUCUUUCCAUCUUUUCUCUCGUCUUCAGCUCACGCUCCAUGUGUGCCUCCCCGCAGCUCACGCGCGAGCUCUCCGAGGACCUUCUCGCCGGCCGGUACGAGUGCAUGGUCUGCUCCGAGCCUGUCGGCCACCGACACGAGCUUUGGGCCUGCUCACGCUGCUAUGGCGUCUUUCACUUGCCAUGCAUCCGCUUCUGGGCGGACAGUCAAACGAAAGAGCGCGAUCGUCAGCUGCAGUCCACGUCGGGCGUCGCCGCCCGCGGGGAGCUGGACCGCUUCCGCUGCCCUCUUUGCCAGUCCUUAAACGAUAACGAUAGCCUGGCUGUCUAUCGGUGCUAUUGCGGCAAGACGGCGAAGCCGCCCGCGGACGCGAUGCUCGUGCCCGGUAGCUGCGGCCAGCCGUGCGAGCGGCGUCAAGCAGACCCCUGCUGUCCUCACCGGUGCACGCUGCUGUGCCAUCCCGGGCCGUGCCCAGCCUGCACGCGUGUUCGCGAGCAGGCAUGCUGGUGUGGCAAGCAUUCCAAGACGGUGGGCUGCUCAAGCAGUAUUCACGGGUACGAGUGCGACGAGACCUGCGGGAAGCUGCUGGACUGCGGGGAGCAUCGCUGCAAGGCGCCCUGCCACGAAGGCGCCUGCCCAGUCUGCACAGUGAUGGUUAUGGAGAAGUGUUACUGCGGGGCUACGGUGCGCACGCGGCGGUGCGGGGCUGCUCCGCCUGCCUUCGCCGGUGCUGCUGCGACAGCAGCUGCGGACGACGGCGCUGCAGGUGACGCGGGUGCCGGCGCGAGCGUCAGCGGCUUCCGUUGCGCGCACCACUGCGAAAAGAAGCGCGAUUGCGACCAACACGUGUGCGGCAUGCUGUGCCACCCUGGCUUGUGCGAGAAGUGCUACCGCACUCCGCAGCGCCAGAAAUUCUGUCCGUGUGGCAAAACGCGGGUGCAGGUAGAGCGAACGUCGUGCAUGGACCCUGUACCGUCAUGUGGGCUCACGUGCGAGCUGCCACUGCCGUGCGGUCACCUGUGCUGGCUGACGUGCCACGACGAAACGCCGUGCGCACCGUGCAAGGAGACGGUGACGGUGCCAUGCGCGUGCGGCAGCCGCCACGUAUCCUGCCCCUGCUUCUGCCAGUACCUGCCGGAGUCUGAGUGGGAGGCGGCGCGCGUGCGGUGUGGAUUGCCAACUGGCACACUGCCUGUGUCGAUGCCUCCCAAGUGCAAUCAAGUAUGCCGUCGCAUGUUGUCUUGCCACAAGCAUCGCUGCACUAAGACGUGCUGUACCGACGCGGAGCACACAUGCCUGCAGAUAUGCAUUCGAAAGCUCGCGUGUGGUGUGCAUCAGUGCGGGCGACUCUGCCACCAAGGUAAGUGCCCCACAUGCGCCCACGUCUCGUACGAGCGCCUCUACUGCCGAUGCCGGAAGACGUGGGUGGACCCGCCGGUGCCGUGCGGGACGCGGCCGCCGCAGUGCAAUCAUCCCUGCAGCAUCCCGCGUUCGUGUGGGCACCCGCCAAACCACCCAUGCCACAUCGAGGCUGAGUGUCCCAAGUGUGUCGUGCUGGGAGAGAAGCUGUGCGCGUCGCACCAGAAGCCGAUGCCGUUCCACAUGCCAUGCUACAAGAAGGAGAUCUCGUGUGGACGGAAGUGCGGCAAGAACCUGCCCUGCUGUGGCAAGUUCUGCAACCUCGUGUGCCACAUCGGGCCAUGCGAGCACGACUGCGCGAAGAGCUUCCCGACGCUGGCCGAUGUCUUGAAGCGCGGCGAGGGCGCGGCGGGGUGACGCGCAUCUCGGUUAAUUUUCUCUUCUGAUGUGAUGGUGGCGGCCCGGGGGCGCGCUCGUGCGCGAUGUGGACAGCGAUUUAGCGGCCGACGGCAAGACGAUACAGACGACUAGGGGACACACACACACACACGGAGAUAGGGCGUGUGCCCAUCAAGCGUGGCCUGCGUCGCUUCUGCUUUGCCCUCGCCCUUGUGGACACUGCGUGCAGCAGAAGGGGUGAGCCCGUGAUGGGGGCGACUCGGUCCUUCUUUUUCGAUCGAUGUGCUAACCCAUCAUCUCUCCACAUCUUCCUACAGCCCCCACCACCCCUUCCUGUGUGUUUGAUAGCCACUCUGCCACAGC
rnacentral:misc_RNA from 1 species